UCCACCUCAUCCAAGUUUGCUCUCUUCCCUGGGGCAGCCUGUAUCCAAUAACUGGUUAUCAAAGAAGGUGCAAAGGUUCAACCUCAUUGCCUCCAUUUAAUACUACUUUUAAGGGUCAUUCCCAGCUCCAGAACUUCCUAGAGGACUGGCUGAGGCUUUUGCUGAAAGACUACAUUGCAGUUCAACUUGUCUCUGUGUCCUAAUACUGCUUUCCCUUCCUCAAUAGGUGUUAUUUCCAAGAGCACUUCACCAAAAAAUAUCCUGCAUACAACUCUUCAUCUCAGUGUUUCUCUCGGAGGGAAUGUAUCUUCUGACAGUUGACUAUGUCAGGAGUGGUUCUAAGAAGUAGAGUGUAAAGUGAAUUGGAUAUUCUGCUGGCCAACUGGUAAUGAUGCCAUCAUAGUUGCUCUCUUCUCCAACCCUAAACCUGGUAAUCACCAAUCCAUCCUCAUUUCUACAGGUGAACUGAGAAAAGUGGCUUCAUUAAGACAAUGAAAGGCAUUGUGGAUUAAAGAUUCAUACCUAUUCUAUGAAUGAUCAAUGAAAGGUUGGCUACAGUUCACUUAUGGGGGAUUUGAGGUGUUGAUUACAGAACAUUGGUCAUCAAUUCUGGUGUUUAUCCAAAUGACCCAUGGACCUCUUUCAAAAAUCUCUGUGUCUGGCCAUUCUCCUGAGAUGAACUUAAGAAAAGCCUG